AGAAGGAGAAGAAGAAGGAGAAAAAGAAAAAGAAGGAGAAGUAGAUGGGGUCAUUGUCGGUCUCAUUGUCCUAGGUUUCAUUGUUUUAGGUCUUCUAGGUUUCAU
rnacentral:ribozyme from 13 species